UCUUCAGGGAAGUUGCCCUUGAUCCUUGCACUUUAUGAUAGGAUGUUGUUAAACAGAACAAUAACAUGUGAUUAGCGCAAAACGACAAAUUUCAGAGAACUGUGAACUGAAUUUAUAUCUUCUUCAAUUCAAACUCUGUAGUUAUGGCGAGCAAACAUUCUUUUAAAGGAUACUAAAGAAUGGGAGAACGUCCUCCAUUAUUUGUGCUAAUUCCUAUGGUGCUCGUGGUAAAAUUGAUAUUCUGGAUAGCUAUUUAUUAUAGAUGUUCAGAUAGAUCCAGAAAUUCACGAACCACAAUUAUUCAACAAACAGUGAUUCAAGGGCAAGUCGAUAAUGGUAUAACUGGUAUACAAAACCCUGGAUAUAUGCAGCAGCCUCCAAUUGAUACCGAAAUACUCAGUCAAAACGCAACACAAGCUUCGGUACCACCAGCCUACGACCAAAACACAAAAUCACCGUGCUUUGCAGAAAAUUAUAGUUCACAGCGUUAUUAGUGUACCUAUUUUGUAAAUCUAAUAUAGGGAAUCAGGAGCAUAUAAAUUGACGAUUAACUUUGAAUAAAUCUAUAGUUCUUGUGUGUUGCUUCUCAGUUUCCAUGUACAUAUGUUACAUACAUAAUUGAAAUAAACAAAAUGCAAGAAAGAAGAUUCAAUAAAUGAACAAGAAACAAUUUUAAGCUGUAAUAAUUGAGUCACGCUUUUACAUCCCAUAUGAAUAUCAAACAUCACUGAAAUUUCGACGAUGUAUCAGUAUUUUCAGAUAUGCCUUAUUCAAACAUGUUCUCUACCUGACUGUGUACAAUCACGAACUUUCACAUAUCUCAUGUAGGGCAACUACAAGUGUCACAGAUUUGAGUUAUUACCAUACAAGGUUUGUAAGUCAACCAACUGAUGUGAUAUAUUCAUGAUAAUACAUUUUACGUAUUACAAAAAUGGCAAUUAAACAUUUUGAUAAGAAAUAUUGUGCACACUAUAUUAAUGUAUAUUUUUUUUUCGUUUACUAUCAGGAGUGAAUGUAUUACGGUUGGGUUAUUAAUGCCAAGAACUACUGUCUAACUUCUAAUAUUAUAUAAACUUCCCUGAAGGGUUGUUCAUUCAUAUCCUAUUUGGAAGUAAAUAUAAUCAUGUAAAAUAUUGUAUGUGAAGAUGAAUAUUUAAAUUGUAAACGGAUCAGAACAAUAUUUAAAAUAUAACUUACCUAUUCUUUUCAGGAAAUAUUCAAAAUACGAAAUUCAUUAUAUAUUCCAUGAUGCGUUUACGUUCCGAAUUAAACUCCUUCUUAUUUCUAUGUUUAAGAUAUUUGUAAUUGUGGUAUGUCUUUGUUUGAAUAUAUUUAACUUUGAUACAUCGAUACUUACAGAACGCAAGGUUGUAGAACUUGUUUUUAAUUUUUAACACACUUUGUCUUCACUGUCUUUAUUUAAGACAAUGUUGUUUUUGUUGUUGUAAUAGUUAUUAUUGUGUUUCAAUUAAACAAUGUACACAUUUUGAAAAAAAUAAUGUUCAAUAAUAAUUUUUAAAAAUCAAUCAAUUACUGCAAUGCUUCGAUUAUGUUUAAAAAAUUGGCUGUAUAUUGCAAUAUUAUUUUUUUCGAAAUAGAUUUUUGUCCAGGGUUGACAUUUCUUUAGACAAUAUCUUUUCAAGUUUAAUCAUGUUACAGUAAUUGACGUUUCGUUACGUUUUAUAUUAUUUCAAAACUGGUAAUUAUUAUCCAUUUUAAUAUUUUUAAUUGAAGAUACAAUUUCCCUUUUUUGUCGCAAAGUAGUUUAUCAGACGGAAUAUGACAAAGAUUAUCAUACGAAUAAAGGAGGUGUUGCAACAGUUACAACAGCAACAUAAUGAAAUCAGAAAGGCAUUUUUAAAUCCAUAAACAGUUUUGAAAAUAGACAAGUACCUUUAACAUAAUAGUAAGUCAAGCUCUAAAUCGCUAAAAGGCUAUGCACAAUUGGUAAAUAAAUUAAAAAGAGACAACCACAGAUCUUCCCUUAAGUAACCUUGCAUUUAAAAAAAAAAAAACACUGAAAAAUAAACAGAUAUUUUGUUGUAACAUGGGACAGACAUGAUAAAGAGAAGUAACAUAUACUGAAAAUGUCACGAAUAGGAACUUCACUCUACAAUUUCGACAUAACAGACGACAAACUCACAGCUGCAAGUACAGCGAUAUGACGGGAGUAGACCUGAAUUAAAGGAAAGCACAUUAAUGAAUGAGUUUGUAAAAGAGGGUUUCAUCAAUGCUUUAGAAACCUUCAUGUGAAUUAGAAUUAAAUUUCUUUCAUGACGAUUGAUGCAUGCACCGUAGAAGACAUUCACACUGUUUCGGUCGGUUUGGAGUUCAUGAAAUUUCCGCAGGCUUUUUAUUUUUAUCUUGAUUUGUAUAAUUUAAUGACUAGAACAACGGUAAACAACUAUUGCCUUUAAUUUAGGAGCUUAUUUUAUAUACUUAUAAAAAUGAUGAACACAAACAUACCAGUGAUGUUUUAAAGUUUUAUCCUUUGACCUAGAUGUACCUUCUUAUUUUUAAUGCUACGGGAAAGAAUGCUCGAAAUACUGAUAGCAAGCUCAUAAUACUCUAUAUUAAUCUUUGCAAUCAUUUAUUACGUUCUAUCAUUAUUUAACAGAUUGAUACAUGAGGUUAAAAGGUAUGAAACUGCAUGUUGAAAGCUAAAUGAUUAUUUUAAUGUUUAUAAACUCAUUUACAUAACACUAUCUAUAACUCAAAGGUUGAUUAAUCAAAUUUGAAAGUUAACAGUUUUCAUACUUUAUAGUAGCUUAACCAUAAUGCAAUACAAAAUGUCUGCUACUUCUUGA